GUUAGCAUCCACUUGCUGAAUGGCUCAUUGAGGGGCAUCACAGGCGUGGUGGAGGGCAGGCUGCGCUGUACACAAGCUACUGGUGGCACCAUAUUUUUGUUCACCAUCACAUGGGGCCUCAUCAAAGGGAAGCCAUCGGCAAGUAGUGGAGUCGCCGACCACCACCACCACCACCACAUGCCUACUGGUUCUCCUCACCCGCAAGGUAAGUGUUCUCCUCCAGCUCGUCACAGGACUGAAGGGGAGGCAGCUACAGCCACUCUCCACGGCCAUCCACGUGAGUACACCCGACAGCCUCCUGCCGUGCCCCGACCCACCACACCUCACCUCGCCCCUCCCCGCCCCGUACCUGCCACUAAUGAGACUCACCUUUCAGGGUCUCUCUAUUGGUCUUUGAGUCUUUCAGGGGUGUUUACCUGGUUGUGGAGCUCUCGACUAUUUCUCCUCAUCUUCUUCCUCCUCCUUAUGGUCUCUCCCCUUCCAUCUGUUUCUUUCUCCUCUCUCUUUUUCAUCUCUCGUCCCGCUCCUGUGUCACCCCAGAUCUCCUCACCGCUCAGCUCUUCCCUCUCUGUAGACUCUUGCAUCAUCUAUCUUCUGUACUGGUGCUGCUGGUUCUCUCUCUCUCUCUCUCUCUCUCUCUCUCUCUCUCUCUCUCUCUCUCUCUCUCUCUCUCUCUCUCUCUCUCUCUCUCUCUCUCCAUUUGUUUGCGUCCUUCGUCCUCCUUUACUUUUUCUCUCCUUUCCACCUUCUUUUUCAUCUUUCAUUCCUGCCUCUUUCCCUCCUCUCCCUCCUCCUCCACUUUAUCCUCGCCUUCCUCCUCCUCCUCCUCCUCCUCCUUAUCCUUACACUUAAGUUUCUCCCUUCACGAGAUCUUUGGGAGGCUGCUGGAGAUCCCUCUUGGCAGUCUCUCGUCACCAGCACCACCACCACCACCACUACUGCUGCUGCCACUAACGACAACCACCACCACCACCACCACCACUGCCACCACCACCCCCAGUAAUAGCACCGAUAUUAAAGGAAAAAUUACUGUGUCUCCUGAAGAUGGUGAUGAUGCUGGUGAUAUCCUGCUCCUGCCCCUCCUCGCUUUUUGUAUCGUCAGGUAA